GAGUUCUCAGCGCCUCCCGCCGCGCAGGCUCGGCGUUGGCCUCCGCGGCCCGUGCGAGUGCGCCCUUCUCGGGUCCCCUAGGUCGCGGGGCAGCCGGGGCGGAAGGGGCUUGUUCAUUAUUUUGAGAGUUUGUUGUGAACGUCAUAACCUUUCGUCCUUAAAUAUUGCCGAUACUUGACCUACGCAAGAGACAAUGUCAUGUGAUUCAGCCUAAUAUCUCAGAGGAUGCAGCAUUCAAGGUUCUAUCUUGGAAGCAGAGACUGUGCCCUCACCAGAUGCUGAACCUGCUGAGCACCCUGAUCUUCCACUUCACCUUCAUCAGAACUACUGGGGCUGUGGCUGAGAUGUCACAUGGCAGAUAGGAUCACAAAUUUCUGUUGUAUCUGGAUGGAGAUCAGCAGGAGGAUCUAUGGACUGCUGUGAUUGCACCUGCCAUCUUAUGCAGAAAUGACCUGAAGACAGACUGAAACAACGUGUUCUACAGCCUGAAAAUAUCUACCUUGACUUACAGUUUUAUUAAUGCUGGUGUGAUCAGACUGGACAAAAAUUAGCAUAUGUUAUUAACUGAUCUAAUUCAAGUGCCAAUUCUUAAUAGAAACACAAAACAAUAAAAGCAAUUCAGAAAAUAUUUACUAUUUGAUUUCUUCAAGCUCCAAACAGGCUUGUGCUUAGCUGUAGAAACUUGAAUAUAUACAAAUCUACAUGGAUAGAAUUCUUAGUCUUCUUUGGGCCAGGUGUGUUAGCCCCUUGGGAAAGGAUAAAGUUUUGGAAUAUAUUUUUAUUCAUGAACCUGCUCUCUUUAAGACUUCUGAGGAAAAGAGCUGCUGGGCAGAUGAGUAGAAUAUGUUACUACUGUUCCGACAUGUCUACCCAUCAAAACUAGCUGAUACAGUACACUUUAAUGACCCUUCUAUAGUCAAAACUGACAUUGACAUUGACAUUAACAGAAAAGAUUUGGGACAAAGAACUGUGUUCAUGCAGCAAAUCAGCCUCAAACUUCACCACAAGCUGCACAUUUUAUGCUACUGUAUUCUGCUUAAGCACUUAUUUGUAUUUAUGUAAACUGAAUGAUCCUUUAAUACUUAAGGACUUUAUUCUGGGUGAGUUAGAAUCACACUGUUUUGGCAGGAAAACUCUUUGAUAGGAAAAACUGUAUGGCUUGAUAAUUUAAGAGCUAAAAGUAGCCAAAUCAGGAACUACUGAAAUUCUUCAGUAUCUGUUAGAAUAUCUCCUGUUUGAGCCAUGUUUGUAAAUGAUGUUCAAAGGCAUUUCAAAAGCAUGUAAAUUAAAAAAACAAUUCAUUUGA
ensembl:lncRNA LINC00882 long intergenic non-protein coding RNA 882